GGAAGGAUCAUUAUUGAAUAAACUUGGUGGGUUGUCGCUGGCUUUUUGGAGCAUGUGCACGCCUACCAUCUUUAUCAAUCCACCUGUGCACCUUCUGUAGUCUUGGGGGAAUGAAAGUGGCAAAUCCUCGGUAGGUCUUUAUUGACCUUUCGGAUGUGAGGAAUGCUAUGCGAAAGUGUAGCUCUCCUUAAGAGGCCUCUGAUUACUCUCURGACUAUGUCUUUUAUAUACCACAUAGUAUGUUACAGAAUGUAUCACAUGGGCCAUUGUGCCUAUAAAACUCAAUACAACUUUCAGCAACGGAUCUCUUGGCUCUCGCAUCGAUGAAGAACGCAGCGAAAUGCGAUAAGUAAUGUGAAUUGCAGAAUUCAGUGAAUCAUCGAAUCUUUGAACGCACCUUGCGCUCCUUGGUAUUCCGAGGAGCAUGCCUGUUUGAGUGUCAUUAAAUUCUCAAACACACUGGUUUUUGUAAACUAGAUGUGGCUUGGAUUGUGGGGGUAUUCCUGCAGGCCUCUGUUGAGGUCGGCUCCCCUAAAAUGCAUUAGCGGAACCGUUUGCGGUCAGUCACCGGUGUGAUAAUUAUCUACGCCCAAGACAAAGGCUGCUCUCUGUCUGUUCAGCUUAUAAUUGUCCCUUGUGGACAACUUUUGAAUAUUUGACCUCAAAUCAGGUAGGACUACCCGCUGAACUUAA
rnacentral:rRNA from 1 species